AGCUUGCUCUUAUGAAGUUAGCGGCGGACGGGUGAGUAACACGUGGGUAACCUGCCCAUAAGACUGGGAUAACUCCGGGAAACCGGGGCUAAUACCGGAUAACAUUUUGAACUGCAUGGUUCGAAAUUGAAAGGCGGCUUCGGCUGUCACUUAUGGAUGGACCCGCGUCGCAUUAGCUAGUUGGUGAGGUAACGGCUCACCAAGGCAACGAUGCGUAGCCGACCUGAGAGGGUGAUCGGCCACACUGGGACUGAGACACGGCCCAGACUCCUACGGGAGGCAGCAGUAGGGAAUCUUCCGCAAUGGACGAAAGUCUGACGGAGCAACGCCGCGUGAGUGAUGAGGGCUUUCGGGUCGUAAAACUCUGUUGUUAGGGAAGAACAAGUGCGAGUUGAAUAAGCUGGCACCUUGACGGUACCUAACCAGAAAGCCACGGCUAACUACGUGCCAGCAGCCGCGGUAAUACGUAGGUGGCAAGCGUUAUCCGGAAUUAUUGGGCGUAAAGCGCGCGCAGGUGGUUUCUUAAGUCUGAUGUGAAAG
rnacentral:rRNA from 1 species